ACGCUCGACACCUACGGGAGGUAGCAGUGGGGAAUAUUGCACAAUGGGGGAAACCCUGAUGCAGCGACGCCGCGUGAGUGAAGAAGUAUUUCGGUAUGUAAAGCUCUAUCAGCAGGGAAGAAAAUGACGGUACCUGACUAAGAAGCCCCGGCUAACUACGUGCCAGCAGCCGCGGUAAUCUGAGCGGGCUGGCAAGGC
rnacentral:rRNA from 1 species